UACGUAGGGUGCGAGCGUUAAUCGGAAUUACUGGGCGUAAAGCGUGCGCAGGCGGUUUUGUAAGCCAGAUGUGAAAUCCCCGGGCUUAACCUGGGAAUGGCAUUUGGGACUGCAAGGCUUGAGUGCGGCAGAGGAGACUGGAAUUCCUGGUGUAGCAGUGAAAUGCGUAGAUAUCAGGAGGAAUACCGAUGGCGAAGGCAGGUCUCUGGGCCUGUACUGACGCUCAUGCACGAAAGCGUGGGGA
rnacentral:rRNA from 1 species